AUUACUAUGAUUUGAUCCAAUAUUACAUUGAUCAUAUGAUCAUACUUUGAUGUUAUGAUCUUGAUUAUACGGACGUGGGAUUUGAUCAAGGCAAAUUUAUUGAUAAUAAGAAUUGUAUUUUAACCAUGUAGAAUUAAUUAUUUUGCGAUGAAUUCACUAUGACGACAAAAAAGCAUGGUGUACAGACAGAACAGAACACCAAUUAAUGUUUAAUUACUGGACAUAUGUGAUAUGUAUGAUUUUCUCAUCGACAUCUGCAUCUGCAAACUUGUUUUCCAGUUGUAAGUAACUUGCAAUUUCCACCAAGAUCACAUCCUUUAUUACAUCUUUCGUCGCAAAGUUGAUUGUCAGCUAUAAUAUCAGGGCUGCAGUUACCUUCAUACGCGAUUUCACAGCACCCGUGCAUUUCAAAUUCUGAUGACACCAAUUUUGUUUCUGCAUGCCACAAAGAUGAUUUAAACUAUGUUAUAUAUGAUAAUAUGAUCUAAACAUUUUCAUCAUAAAAAGUAAUUAUGCCACAAAAUAUGAGACUAAUAUAGUUAUAUCCAUUUACAUUGAAAUUGAAUAAAAGAAACAACUAAGACUAGAGAUGAAUAAAGUAAAACAGAUUAGAAAUCAUAACAAGGUUUACCAUAAGUGAAGAAGAACAUAAGAACAAAGAGAGAGCAAAUCAAAGUAGAAAACUUCAUGUUUAUGUCUUCUUUGAAGAAGAAAAAAAAGUAGCAGAAAAUCACUAUUCAAUCAAUGGUUAUCUUAUCAACCACAUUAAGCUAAAUACAAUAUAUUUUUAUAAGGAGAUCAUGAAAUUAUGGGAGAUCAAGAAAAAUAUACCAAAUCUUUUUGUUUUCAAUCUCGUUAUUCCUAUGUUUGUGUUUAAGAUUUGUUGCCAUAUGUGGUGAUGAAGGUGCUAGUGCUAUUGGCCCUUUUAAGGCCAUGGAAUGUGAACACAAGAU
rnacentral:lncRNA from 1 species